CCUACGGGGCGCAGCAGUGGGGAAUAUUGCACAAUGGGGGGAACCCUGAUGCAGCAACGCCGCGUGAAGGAAGACGGUUUUCGGAUUGUAAACUUCUAUCAAUAGGGAAGAAAAUGACGGUACCUGACUAAGAAGCCCCGGCUAACUACGUGCCAGCAGCCGCGGUAAUACGUAGGGGGCAAGCGUUAUCCGGAUUUACUGGGUGUAAAGGGAGCGUAGACGGCAGCGCAAGUCUGAAGUGAAAUCCCAUGGCUUAACCAUGGAACUGCUUUGGAAACUGUGCAGCUGGAGUGCAGGAGAGGUAAGCGGAAUUCCUAGUGUAGCGGUGAAAUGCGUAGAUAUUAGGAGGAACACCAGUGGCGAAGGCGGCUUACUGGACUGUAACUGACGUUGAGGCUCGAAAGCGUGGGGAGCAAACAGGAUUAGAUACCCCUGUAGUC
rnacentral:rRNA from 1 species